rnacentral:rRNA from 1 species
GACGAACGCUGGCGGCGUGCUUAACACAUGCAAGUCGAACGAGAAGAGAUGAGAAGCUUGCUUCUUAUCAAUUCGAGUGGCAAACGGGUGAGUAACGCGUAAGCAACCUGCCCUUCAGAUGGGGACAACAGCUGGAAACGGCUGCUAAUACCGAAUACGUUCUUUUGUCGCAUGGCAGAGGGAAGAAAGGGAGGCUCUUCGGAGCUUUCGCUGAAGGAGGGGCUUGCGUCUGAUUAGCUAGUUGGAGGGGUAACGGCCCGACCAAGGCGACGAUCAGUAGCCGGUCUGAGAGGAUGAACGGCCACAUUGGACUGAGACACGGCCCAGACUCCUACGGGAGG